UACAGAGGUGGCAAGCGUUGUUCGGAAUUACUGGGCGUAAAGGGCGCGUAGGCGGCCUUCUAAGUCAGACGUGAAAUCCCCCGGCUUAAUCUGGGAACUGCGUCUGAUACUGGAGGGCUUGAGUAUGGGAGAGGGAUGUAGAAUUCCAGGUGUAGCGGUGAAAUGCGUAGAUAUCUGGAGGAAUACCGGUGGCGAAGGCGGCAUCCUGGACCAUUACUGACGCUGAGGCGCGAAAGCUAGGGGAGCAAACGGG
rnacentral:rRNA from 1 species